UACGUAGGGUGCGAGCGUUACUCGGAAUUACUGGGCGUAAAGCGUGCGCAGGCGGUUUUGUAAGCCAGAUGUGAAAUCCCCGGGCUUAACCUGGGAAUGGCAUUCGGGACUGCAAGGCUGGAGUGUGGCAGAGGAGACUGGAAUUCCUGGUGUAGCAGUGAAAUGCGUAGAUAUCAGGAGGAAUACCGAUGGCGAAGGCAGGUCUCUGGGCUGACACUGACGCUCAUGCACGAAAGCGUGGGGAGCAAACAGG
rnacentral:rRNA from 1 species